GCCGGUCGUGGCCGGUGGCGGCGGCCGCGCCCUGCGCGCGCGCCGAGCUGUCGAGGAAGCCGGUCACGAUGUUCCAGCCGAUGCGGCCCUCGC
rnacentral:tRNA from 1 species